rnacentral:rRNA from 1 species
AUGGCUCUGCCGAUGACGGCCUCCAUCCCCCUCCCUGAUGAGCUGUUGGAGGAGAUCUUCCUCCGCCUGCCCACCCUAGACACGCUCGCAUGCGCCUCCGCCACCUGCACCUCCUUCUGCCGCGUCAUCAAAGGGCGCGCCUUCCGCCGCCGCUUCCGUGUGCUGCAUCGGCCUUCCCUCCUCGGCUUCAUGGACGCGGCCGGAUUCCAGCCCGCCCAGGCGCCGCACCCCUCCGCCCCGCUGGCCGCCGCCCUCGGUCCGUGCGCCGCGGAUUUCACCUUCGUCCCGGCCAUUGUUUCUUCCUCAUCCUACAUCCUGCCUGAGGAGGAAGGCCCCCGUUGGCGUCCUCGUGACGCCCGCGAUGGUCGCGUCCUCCUCGAUUGGAUCUCCCUCCAACCACGCGUCGUCAAGAACUGGAGCUACUCCGGAAAAGGCUCCGAAGUAAGCAUCCUCAUGGACAGGAGGGAGCUCGUUGACUUCUUCGAUGAUGGUCGCCGCCUCGCUUGGACCAAACGGGAGCGGUGCAACGCCGCCGACUUUCACCUCGCCAUCUGUGACCCCCUGUCCAGGAGAUACGUGUUGCUUCCAACCAUACCUGAGGACCUCGCCGCUCAGCCACAUGAUCGCCUUUGGGAAUUUGAGCCCGUACUUGCUCCAAAUACCAGUGAUGAGAGCGAGGAGAAUCAUUUCAAGGUGAUAUGCAUAGCAAGAUACCUGAAAAAGCUUGUCCUUUUUGUCAUCCAGUCCACAACUAUGCAAUGGUGUAUGGUUGAGUCCCCUGUCCUCCCUUGUUUGGACGACAUGUCCUAUUUUGACUGUGUACGCGGCUGCUUCUGCUGGACACAGUGUUGGUUUUGGAGUGACAAUUUGAUGGUACUUGACACAUGCACUUUGAGGUUUUCAGUUGUCAAUUUUUUCACCGGCUACCAUCUGAAGCUCAGAGAUACUUACCCGGGCUUUCUUCGUCGGCGUCCGAAUGCAGUUGUUGUGGGUAGGGAAGGAGCCAUUGAGAUGUUUUGUCUUGUUGGUCAACAUGGGUCAUUUGCUCUCCAUCAUACCUCUCUACAGGAUAGUUCGCAUGAAUGGAAGCUUGAGAAGAUUGUACAGCUACCUGGGCAGUAUCAGGAGUAUUCUAUUUCCACAGUGGGUGCAGCCGAGGGAUUCUUGUUCUUCCAGGGCGCUCCGCUUGGCAUUGAGUUUCAGAAUGUUGAUUGCUACUCAAUGGAUGUCAAAACUUAUGAAAUUACCAAGAUCUAUACAAAGAUGGGAAAUUUCUUUGAUCGCAAACGUGCCAUCCCCUACUUUAGCUUCCCAAGGCUGUUAUCAGAACCAACUAUUUGA